UAAAUCAGCCCCAGAACCGGAACCAGCGGGACCAGCAGCCCUCUGCCCCUUCACGCGCACAGACCAGCGCGCUCCCGGCCGUGCACGCGCCUGCGCUCGGCCCCGCGCUGCAGGUAGUAGCCCCGCCCCCUCCGCUCCACACAAUACCGCCGCUCCGGCUCCGUCCCGUCCGGGUCCAGACUCCGCUGUCCGGUUCCGAGGGGCCACAGAUCCAGACCCGGUGAAGGUUCUGCUCGUCCAGCCAAGGCCGGUUCUGAUCCCUCCGCUGACCUCUGACCUGUGUGACCGUGAGAUCCGAUCCGGUCUGAGCCGCCGGGUCGGUCCGGUAAAAGCUCGGAUCUGGGGGUUCUGGGAAGGAGAGGACUGAAGACGUUCCUCCAAGCUUCACAGGAACGUGGACGGAACCGACCCGAGAUGUGAGGUGAACCACCUGGACCGGGUUUCCUUCCCUGCGGCGCCGCUCGGUCGUUUGGACCAGAACCUUUGAGACCAGGUCCAAACGGUUCUCCUCCCUCCCAGGUCCAAACGGUUCUCCUCCUGUCUCACCUCUGCCUGGGUCCUCUGGUCUGGAGGAGAUGGAUCCUCGGACCGCCGGUUCUGGAGAACCAGAAGGUUGAUCCCAGAGGGGCGCAGCAUGUCCUGGAAGAGGAACUACUUUGCGUCGGGCGGCGGCGGAGGGACACAGGGAGUCCUGGCGCCGCCCACCAUGACCUCCAUCACCGCCAGCAAAGGGCUGAGCAACGAACCGGGUCAGAACAGCUGCUUCCUGAACAGCGCCCUGCAGGUUCUGUGGCACCUGGACAUCUUCCGCCGAAGUUUCCGGCAGCUCUCCACCCAUAAGUGCAUGGAGGACUCGUGCAUCUUCUGCGCCCUGAAGAACAUCUUCGGCCAGUUCCAGUACAGCAGUGAGAAGGUUCUGCCGUCAGACGCGCUGCGCAGCGCGCUGGCUAAGACCUUCCAGGACGAGCAGCGCUUCCAGCUGGGCAUCAUGGACGACGCCGCCGAGUGCUUCGAGAACAUCCUGAUGAGGAUCCACUUCCACAUCGCAGACGAGACCAAAGAGGACAUCUGCACCUCCAGACACUGCAUCCCUCACCAGAAGUUCGCCAUGACGCUGUUUGAGCAGUGUGUGUGCAGCAGCUGUGGAGCGUCUUCAGACCCGCUGCCCUUCAUCCAGAUGGUCCACUACAUCUCCACCACCUCCCUCUGCAACCAGGCGGUGAAGAUGCUGGAGUCCAGGGAGAAGGCGACUCCCAGCAUGUUCGGGGAGCUGCUCCGUAACGCCAGCAUGGGCGACCUGCGCAGCUGUCCUAGUCAGUGUGGCCAGCAGCUGCGCAUGGCCCGGGUCCUCCUCAACAGUCCGGAGAUCAUCACCAUCGGCCUGGUGUGGGACUCGGAGCACUCGGACCUGGCCGAGGACGUCAUCCACUCUCUGGGCACCUGCCUGCGGCUCGGAGACCUCUUCUACAGAGUGACGGAGGAGAAGGCCCGGCAGGCCGAGCUCUACCUGGUCGGCAUGGUCUGCUACUACGGCAAGCAUUACUCCACCUUCUUCUUCCAGACCAAGGUCAGACGCUGGAUGUACUUUGAUGACGCGCAUGUGAAGGAGAUCGGACCCAAGUGGAAGGACGUGGUGUCGCGCUGCAUCAAGGGCCACUACCAGCCGCUGCUGCUGCUGUACGCCGACCCGCGGGGGACGCCGGUGGCGGCGCAGGACCCGCCGCCGCGCCUGGACCUGCAGCACCUGAACAAGGCCAGUUACGACAGCGAGGACUCGGGCCGCGAGCCGUCCAUCUCCAGCGACACUCGGACCGACUCGUCCACGGAGAGCUACAGCGGCCGGCAGCCCUCCCACCAUGAGUCCCUGGCGAGUCGCUGCUCGUCUGACUCCCAGGGAACUGUCGUCUGCACGGAGCGGCCCGGCAGAACCCUGCACGCCUCGCUCUGCAGCCUGGACGCCACAGGCCACGCCACGGACGCUGAGCAGCAGCAGCCUCUGAGGAGAGGAGGCGGAGCCACAGACAGGAGGCGGAGCUCCAGCCGGUCCCGCCGAGUUAAACAGGAGCCGUCGUCGGCCGGUUACCACAGCGAUGGAGAGACCUUAAAGGAGCAGCAGGUUCCUCGGCACCUCCCCAAGUCUUCGUCCUCCUUCUCAUCUUCAACCAGUCGCCUCAGAGACUUCAAGGAGACCAUGACCAACAUCAUCCGUCCCUUCUCCUCCUCCUCUUCCUCCUCUCUGCCGGCCGCCGUCCUCUCCCCUGAGAUCUCCUCCUCCUCCUCCUCCUUCAGCCAGAACCUCCCUCCUCCGUCCUCCUCCACCAGAGUCCAGGACUGGGAGGCCGACAGCACCAGCAGCGAGUCCAAGUCCAGCGCCUCAGGAGGAGCGGGGAGGUACCGGCCGGCUUGGAGGCCACGGAGGGAGACGCUGAACAUCGACACCAUCUUCACCCGCGAGAGGCGGAGGCAGGCGGGGUACAGCCCCCUGGGAGGUCCACCGCCUGAUGACGGAGGACCUCCUGAGCCCGACGGAGCCCACACCUCCUUCUCAGCCCAGGAGGAGGGGUUGUCCACCAGACCCGGCUCCUCCAGGACUCUCCCCAGCUCCUUCAGAGGAUCGCAGCUCCCUCCUCCUCCCCCUCCGCCUCCCAGGCUGAUCCAGAGGAUGGAGAGCGGCUAUGAGAGCAGCGAGAGGAACAGCAGCAGCCCCGUCAGUCUGGACCUGAACCUGGGAGACAGGGAGAGUUCAGUGAGGAAACCUUCGUCCUCGUCAGGACCAGCAUGGAGGAACAUCAGGUCCAAGAGCAGCGGGUCUCUGCUGCAGGACCUCAGCUCCUCCAGCAGAGGGAGCCUCGCGCCCCCUGCAGGCCGCAGCGAGCUGGACGAGCUGCAGGAGGAGGUCCUGAGGAGAGCGAGGGAGGAGGAGCAGCAGCGGCGGCAGGAGAAGGAGAGGGAGGCGGCCCUCGGCUUCAACCCCAGACCCAGCAAGUACCUGGACCUGGACCAGCUGCAGAUCCAGGGUAAAGGCGACAGCUUCGACAGGUGUGUGAUGGAGGCGGAGCUCCUGAUGGACCAAUCGAUACGUUUGGAGCAGGCGGGCGAAGUCACAGCGGCGCUGUCGGCCGUCAACGACGCCGUGUCCAAACUACGGCUGGUGGCGGCUGAGGGCGGAGCUAGUGGCCACAGCCGGCUGCAGCGCUGCAUGCGGAGAGCCCGCAGCCUGCAGCAGCGCAUGCAGCUGCAGGAGCAGCAGCAGGAUUCAGAGGCAGUAAAGCAGGAGCCGGAGGAGCAGCAGGUCCAGGAGCAGCCCAGUGAAAAGCCUCUCCCGCUCUCAGUACUUCUGACAGACAACCAGGGCGACCAAUCAGCUGCCUGUCAGGAUCAGCAGGCUCCUCCUCUUAUUACUUGCUUUGUUAAGCCCCUCCCCCCUGCAUCAGGUUUGCCCUCUGACCCCGCCUCCAGCCCUGCGUCCUCUUCUCCAGGUAGAGACAGUAGGAACAGGAGCCCCUGCUCUCGCUUUGGGAAACCCCUCAGUAACGCCAGGUCCCUCCCUGCUCUCUCUGUGGACACCUGCCUGGAGGAUUUGGCUCCGCCCACUCCACCUGAAGAGGAGUGGCCAAUACCAUCCCAAGCCCCGCCCACAUCCAGGCCACGUUCUCCAUCAGCUACUGACACCAGCAGGUGUCAUGUGAUGAUGGGGGAGGACACAUACAUAAAUAAACAGGCCACGCCCAUUGGCUGUAACCCUGCCUCCACAUUAGCCCCUCCCCCUUCCUCCUGCCCAACCAGGAAGUGGUCUUGUUUGAACCUGGACUCGGAUGUCAUAGAUUCUCCGGACCUUUCGAUCAGCCACCCCUUCUACUCGCCCUCAGACUCUGCCUCCACCCCCCCACCUGUGACCCUGCCCCUCAGGACCUGCUCCCCGCCCCCCAGCCAGGUUACCCGACCCGCCCUGCCUGUUGAACGCUGGGCUGAGAACGUCAACAGGUACUACAGCUCCCACAAUGCAGCGGGAGGUGGAGGAGGAGCUGCAGAGGUCGGGGAAGAAAUGUCGGAGCUGGAGACGCUGUACCAGGCCAGUCUGCUGGCUCCCAGCAUGCACCGGGGCAGCCACGGAGUCAGCCCGCAGCCAGGGGGCAGCAGAGCAGGUGUGAGGAGGAUGCUGCCAGGUUCUGGACGCUCCAAAACACCAACGGCUGAAAUCGAGAGAUGUGCCUACAGAAGUCCGGUCUCACCUGAGCUGAAGCCCCCUGCAGGCGAGGAUGAGAGCUACAGCGCAGAAAACCUGCGGCGCCUCGCUCGCAGUCUGAGCGGAACCGUCAUCAGAUUCGAGACCACAGAACCCCCCACGCAGCUGUGACCCCCCUGUGUCCAGGCCCCCCCUCAGACACUCAGAUCUCCACUCCUCUUCCUCCCUCUUCCUCCGUCGUCCCAGCACCUCUUCCCUGCACCCCCCCUCCUCUACCUCCUUCGCAGCAGACCACUCCUCCUUCCACCAACCCCAGCACCACGGCCCCCCCGCUCCACAGCACCCCCACACGCAGACAUCACGACCCCCCAGCCUGGGGCCCUCCACCUGGGGACACUCAGGACCUCCUUCGGACCUCCAGCAACAGUUUCUGGUUGUGUCUGACAGGAGUCAGACUCCCUCAGGUCUCCCCAGCAUGGCGCUGAGUUACGGCACUCUUCCUCGCCGUGCCCCGCCCUCCUCCUCCUCGCUUCCCAGGCCCAGAACCGGUCCUGCUGCUCCUACGGGUCCACAGAGUCUCUACGCCACCCUGGCCCCGCCCCGCCGCAUCACCAGUGCCUCCAGCAGCCACCAUCGGCAGGCCUCUCUGCCUGGGGCAAGAACCGGUUCUGCUCCACAGCGCCCCGGUGUGGCGGGAGACGUCCCCUCUCAGCCUCUCCGCCUGGACGUCCCCCCCGAGACCGACUGGCGCCGCCAUGUAGAACACAGGACGGGUCCGUCCAGCUCCUCCUGGGACCUGCGGUCCGUCCGGCGCCAGCAGCCCCUCCAGUUGACGGACAGGGGCCCUCGGUUCUGCUCUCUCUGCCAGCGACUUCCUGCAGAACCGUGGCGUCCUUACUGUUGGACCUGUUCUGCUCACCUGGACCGGUGCCGUUCAGGCAGCAACCAGUGAGACCUCAGCAAGUUCCUGCUGGGAUGAAGGUUGGAGGUCCAAACCCAGAGCAGAGGAGACCUGCUGCUCCAUAACCAGAACCCGAGCAACACCUUCAGGAACAUCAGCCAGUUUCUGCUGGACUGAUCAGAACCCAGCUCCACUGGGUCCAGAUGUGGACCCUGGUAUCGCCAUCCUCUCAUGCAGAACCGCCUCUGUACUGUGUAGAACCUGUUUGGGCUUCAGUUCUGCAGCAGAUGAAGUACGGACCUCCUAUGUGCAGAUUGAACAGAACCUUGUAUUUUGCUGUAGGCCUGUGGUUCUGGUUCCUGAGUCCAGUGGACUCCUCUGUGUUCCUCUCGUCUGGGUUGGGAUGUUCUUCUUUCUUUAGAUUCAAACUGAAGCUUCUGGCUGAGCUGCAGCUCAUAUUUAGCAUGAUGUUUACUAUGGUAGCCUCAGUGUUCUGCUCUCCAUGUGCAGAUGUUCUCGGUCCAGCGGUUCCACUGCGUCCACCUCAGAAGUUCUGAAGGUCCAUUUUGUGCAGGAGGAGCUUCAAUAUUUUCAGCUUUUCUUUAGAUGAAGGAUCUGAUGGCUGACUCCACCUGGCUGGAGCUCCUGGAGAGCUGAAACAAACGAACCCUAAAGCCAGAACUUUAGAUUUUGGUAAUUCUGGACAUGAAGCAUCAGAACCAAACCUGCAAACUUUCUUAGUUUCAAAGAUUCAGGUCUGAAAUCAGAAAGUUCUGUUUUCAUGGUGUCAAGGUUUUUAUUUCUGCUUUGUCAGAUUUUAUUUUCUUGGUU